rnacentral:rRNA from 1 species
CCUACGGGUGGCAGCAGGGAGGAAUAUUGGUCAAUGGGCGAGAGCCGGAACCAGCCAAGUAGAGGGAAGGAUGAAGGAUCUAUGGUUUGUAAACUUCUUUUAUAUGGGAAUAAAGUGAGGAACGUGUUCCUUUUUGUAUGUACCAUAUGAAUAAGCAUCGGCUAACUCCGUGCCAGCAGCCGCGGUAAUACGGAGGAUGCGAGCGUUAUCCGGAUUUAUUGGGUUUAAAGGGUGCGUAGGUGGUUAAUUAAUUCAGCAGUGAAAGUUUGUGGCUCAACCGUAAAAUUGCCGUUGAUACUGGUUGACUUGAGUGUAUUUGAGGUAGGCGGAAUGCGUGGUGUAGCGGUGAAAUGCAUAGAUAUCACGCAGAACUCCGAUUGCGAAGGCAGCUUACUAAACUGUAACCGACACUGAGGCACGAAAGCGUGGGGAUCAAACAGGAUUAGAUACCCUAGUAGUC